rnacentral:lncRNA from 1 species
UGCAAUGUAUAUUCAUUCAUCUUUUUUCCCCGCAAAAAGAUAAUUUGUGGCACCAUUCAUAUGAUUUUUAAAUGAAUAAUUUGUUUCGGAGCCGAUUUAGUGUAGCCUAGGGGAUGCUAAUCGUGGUAUACAUGCAUCAAGAUUACGAGUCAGGGAGAGGGGUGAUUGAUCGAAAGGCAUCCCUUUUAUGAACAAAGUAAAGGCAUGGAAAUUUUAUAAAACACUGAGCCCACUAAGCUUCACGAGUAAGAAUCCAAGCGCAUUCAGACUCCAUGACAAAGCUAACACUGUAAUGGCACCCAACUCUGAUGAAAGGCAGAAGAAAAAAAACCAACUUCAGCCCCAUUCAACGACUCA